rnacentral:rRNA from 1 species
AUUGAACGCUGGCGGCGUGCUUAACACAUGCAAGUCGAGCGGUAACAGGCGUAGCAAUACGUGCUGACGAGCGGCGAACGGGUGAGUAAUGCUUCGGAAUCUUCCUCGUAGUGGGGGACAACCCGGGGAAACUCGGGCUAAUACCGCAUACGCCCUACGGGGGAAAGCGGGGGAUCUUCGGACCUCGCGCUACUGGAUGAGCCUACGUCGGAUUAGCUUGUUGGUGGGGCAAAGGCCUACCAAGGCGACGAUCCGUAGCUGGUCUGAGAGGACGAUCAGCCACACUGGGACUGAGACACGGCCCAGACUCCUACGGGAGGCAGCAGUGGGGAAUAUUGGACAAUGGGCGAAAGCCUGAUCCAGCAAUGCCGCGUGUGUGAAGAAGGCCUGCGGGUUGUAAAGCACUUUCAGUUGGGAGGAAAAGCAGUGGGCCAAUACCCCGCUGUCUUGACGUAACCAACAGAAGAAGCACCGGCUAACUCUGUGCCAGCAGCCGCGGUAAUACAGAGAGUGCAAGCGUUAAUCGGAAUUACUGGGCGUAAAGCGCGCGUAGGCGGUUUGGUUAGUCGGAUGUGAAAGCCCCGGGCUUAACCUGGGAAUUGCAUUCGAUACUGC